CUCCAGCCUCCUGCUGAAGGGCUCUUUCAGAAGGAAUGAGUCUGUACAAGUGACCUACAGGGGAGGGCUUUGCAUAUGGGAUCGGAUUAAAUUCAAUGUGAUUUCUCUUUCCCUUUCAACUUUAUGCAGAUUGGGACUCAUUUCUUUCUGGUGGAUCACAGCUGCCCAGAUGUUGCGAUUUAUUUUUAUGUUUGUGGAGAAGUAUUUUUUCUUUCAUCUUCAGGAAUUUUUUUUUUGCCACCAAAAGAAAACAUUGGAACUCUAUGUCCCCUCUUGAUUGUGACUUACCAGUGUUGACAGUUAAGUCCUUAGUGUUGUAGGUCCCAGACCACCAAUACUGUAUCAAACACUGUUAUGCACAUAAUGCAGCACUGUGAUCUAAUUUAAAUAACACUUUUUUAUUAUUUAUACUACUAUAUAUAAUAUACAUCAACACUUUUGCUAUAUAACCUAAGUGAUAAACCCCUUUUAGUUACCUGCCAAACUCUGGACUUCAGUUUAUAUUGCAGUUAAUAGUUACAAAGUUGUAAUGGUGUCUCUUUUUUUCUUUGUAAUGGAAUGUGUAAAUCAAAGUAUAUACAUUGUGUGGUGUUCCUGUUUCUUGGAAUUUCAUGAGGAUUUACACACGGCAUUCAGUGUUCUAUAUAGAUUUACCUACCUUUGUGAAGUCAUCUGUUGACCCUCUUCCUUUGAGAGAGCACCAGCCAUGGUGGCUGACUCCUGUGUCUGCUCUCCUGCUGGUUCUUCUUGAAUUAAGCACAGACUCGUCAGCUCAGUUGCUUUAUCAUGAACAAUUUGUGUGACCUUGGCAUUCUUCCACAGUUCAGCAAAGUGCUAGCUUCACUGACCAAAAAUUAAGGAAGGAAAACACCAUUUGCAAAAUGAUUCAUCUUUUAACAGCCAAAACCAAUGUAUCUAUGGUGCUGCAUCUUGCCGUUGUGCUUCUGAGAUCAGACCUAGAAGAAAAAAGAAAGUGAUAAAGCAAUCAGAAGACCAAGAGGUUUAUGACUGAUGCUUAAGGUCAACUCACCUUUGCUGGCCAAUAGACCUAGAUGGCCAAAUUAACUUACAACAGUAAUAAUUUUUUUCAAAAGCCAAUUUUUUUCUUCUGUAUGAAACUGCCAAUAUCAUGAAUAGAAAGGGAGAACUGCAAAGGAGAAGGAAAGUGAUGUUCAGUUGUGUUUGUGUUAACCUAAAGGAGCAGUUUGGAGAUGGGCAAAGUCAGCCAAACUCUAGGGACUUCAUGGUGUUGCUUUGGAGGAUCUCUACUUGCAUUUUGCAUUCUUCAUAUGUAAUCAUAUUGCCAAAGACAAACUAUUUCAUCAUUUAUUGUAAAUAACACUUUUCCCCAGACCUACCAUAAAGUUUCUGUGAUGUAUUGUCUUCCAGUUGCAAUAAAAAUUACUGAGUUGCAUCAAUUGAA